UACCAGCACCCCGAGUGGUCGGGACGUUUAUUGGGCCUAAAGCAUCCGUAGCCGGUUCUACAAGUCUUCCGUUAAAUCCACCUGCUUAACAGAUGGGCUGCGGAAGAUACUAUAGAGCUAGGAGGCGGGAGAGGCAAGCGGUACUCGAUGGGUAGGGGUAAAAUCCGUUGAUCCAUUGAAGACCACCAGUGGCGAAGGCGGCUUGCCAGAACGCGCUCGACGGUGAGGGAUGAAGGCUGGGGGAGCAAACCGG
rnacentral:rRNA from 1 species